rfam:Schistosoma mansoni strain Puerto Rico chromosome W, complete genome
AUCCAUCUGAUGAAUCCUAAAUAGGACGAAACGCCUGUCAAACUGGAU